CGGGCUACCAUGCAGUCGACGGUAACAGGAAGAGCUUGCUGCUUUGCUGACGAGUGGCGGACGGGUGAGUAAUGUCUGGGAAACUGCCUGAUGGAGGGGGAUAACUACUGGAAACGGUAGCUAAUACCGCAUAACGUCGCAAGACCAAAGAGGGGGACCUUCGGGCCUCUUGCCAUCGGAUGUGCCCAGAUGGGAUUAGCUAGUAGGUGGGGUAACGGCUCACCUAGGCGACGAUCCCUAGCUGGUCUGAGAGGAUGACCAGCCACACUGGAACUGAGACACGGUCCAGACUCCUACGGGAGGCAGCAGUGGGGAAUAUUGCACAAUGGGCGCAAGCCUGAUGCAGCCAUGCCGCGUGUAUGAAGAAGGCCUUCGGGUUGUAAAGUACUUUCAGCGGGGAGGAAGGGAGUAAAGUUAAUACCUUUGCUCAUUGACGUUACCCGCAGAAGAAGCACCGGCUAACUCCGUGCCAGCAGCCGCGGUAAUACGGAGGGUGCAAGCGUUAAUCGGAAUUACUGGGCGUAAAGCGCACGCAGGCGGUUUGUUAAGUCAGAUGUGAAAUCCCCGGGCUCAACCUGGGAACUGCAUCUGAUACUGGCAAGCUUGAGUCUCGUAGAGGGGGGUAGAAUUCCAGGUGUAGCGGUGAAAUGCGUAGAGAUCUGGAGGAAUACCGGUGGCGAAGGCGGCCCCCUG
rnacentral:rRNA from 1 species